rnacentral:rRNA from 1 species
AUGGAUAAUAGUCCUCGUGUAAUUUUUUGGAAUGUGCGUGGGCUUAACUGCCCCGCCAAACGCUCCGCUGUCCGUUCGGUCAUCGUCUCCGUGUGGCCUUCUAUUGUGUGUCUUCAAGAAACAAAGCUUUCGACGGUCUUGUGCUCUAUUGUCUCCGACACCCUCGGUCCGGAUUUCUUGGAUUUCUUUUUUCUGCCUGCGACCGGGACCUGUGGCGGCAUCAUC